rnacentral:rRNA from 1 species
CCUACGGGCGGCAGCAGUGGGGAAUAUUGGACAAUGGGGGCAACCCUGAUCCAGCCAUGCCGCGUGUGUGAAGAAGGCCCUCGGGUUGUAAAGCACUUUCAGUGAGGAAGAACACCUGGUGGUUAAUACCCAUCAGGAAAGACAUCACUCACAGAAGAAGCACCGGCUAACUCCGUGCCAGCAGCCGCGGUAAUACGGAGGGUGCGAGCGUUAAUCGGAAUUACUGGGCGUAAAGCGCGCGUAGGUGGCUUGAUAAGCCGGUUGUGAAAGCCCCGGGCUCAACCUGGGAACGGCAUCCGGAACUGUCAAGCUAGAGUGCAGGAGAGGAAGGUAGAAUUCCCGGUGUAGCGGUGAAAUGCGUAGAGAUCGGGAGGAAUACCAGUGGCGAAGGCGGCCUUCUGGACUGACACUGACACUGAGGUGCGAAAGCGUGGGUAGCAAACAGGAUUAGAUACCCCAGUAGUC